GACGAACGCUGGCGGCGUGCUUAACACAUGCAAGUCGAACGGAAAGGCCCUGCUUUUGUGGGGUGCUCGAGUGGCGAACGGGUGAGUAACACGUGAGUAACCUUCCCUUGACUUUGGGAUAACUUCAGGAAACUGGGGCUAAUACCGGAUAGGAGCUCCUGCUGCAUGGUGGGGGUUGGAAAUUUUCGGCGGUUGGGGAUGGACUCGCGGCUUAUCAGCUUGUUGGUGGGGUAGUGGCUUACCAAGGCUUUGACGGGUAGCCGGCCUGAGAGGGUGACCGGCCACAUUGGGACUGAGAUACGGCCCAGACUCCUACGGGAGGCAGCAGUGGGGAAUAUUGCACAAUGGGCGGAAGCCUGAUGCAGCAACGCCGCGUGCGGGAUGAAGGCCUUCGGGUUGUAAACCGCUUUCGCCUGUGACGAAGCGUGAGUGACGGUAAUGGGUAAAGAAGCACCGGCUAACUACGUG
rnacentral:rRNA from 1 species